CAGCUUUUUGUUGGGAGUAAACAAAUCUUUGAGGAGUUGUAUUUUUGAGAAGUAUUUUCUACGGGGUUGAAGAAUCAGACUAAACAACUUCCGUCAUGAUUUGACAUACCCCUAGAAAAAUUGGAGUUCCCUCAAAACAGAAGAAGUCUGUAUACUGAAGAAGACCAUUUAAGCCUCAAAACAGCUCUAAACACUAGUAUUUCUUUCAUCCAUGACUUACCUGGAAUGUCACCUGACAGCAACAGCACCCUUCUACUAUGUGACUACACCAGGGGGAUUUAGCAGGAGAAAGAACUGAAGGAAAGAUUCAACAGCAACAAGCUUCUGAAAGAAUUAAUGGAAAUAGAAUCCACCUAAAGAAAGAGAGCCAUACAGUCAAUUGGAUGAUCAAGACCCAUCUCUCCCAGAGCUGAAAAAAAUAUGUGACAUUAGCAUGGGCUUAAAGUGGAUACUAUACUACUGUACAUUUUUCUCAUAAUUACUUGAUUUAUUGGAGAAGCACCUAACAUCCCUUAUCACCAAAUAGCAGCAUAAUAUGCUAGACAGUGUAAAAAGACUUCAUCCUAAAUAGGGUCAUGCCUCACAUAUAGAAGUCCACUGGGGGCAAAUAAUCUAGAAUAAUUGCUGUAGGACAAAAUCAGUAUGGAUGAGACAAUACACUUUUAUCAACAAACAUCUUCAAAUAGGCUACUCAUGUUUAAUGUCUCUGUGUUUAAAAUGGGUCUAUUGAGCACAAUACAUUUAUUUCAUAUAAACUUAUUUUAUGUUUAAUGGUCAGAUAUUACCAUAAAAGAGCUUCCCCUGCAAUUUGUUUAAAAAGAUGUUAACUAAAUAGCUUGCAGAAAAAAUAUUUACAACAUGCAAUAGAAUCUUCAAAAUAUUUCAUUAUUAACUGGAAAAAUAUUUGUUACUUAAACAAACUGAGUAACUUAAAAAGCUUACAACAGGAUAUCCAUGCUAAAAUUAUUUGACAUAUUCACAAAGAAAUAGAAAGAGGAACCACCAAAUUGUUGAUGUUAUGUUGUUGUGUAGCAUUUCCCCAGUCUCAUGAAAGGUGAAUUCUCUGUUUUGAGAUCUUGAGAACAAAAAUAUUUCCUUUUAUCAGAAAUUCUUUUUAUACUCAUUGGGCCUCUAAAAUUUGUUGGAAUGAUUAUUCCAUGCUAUUUUAAUGUGUUUUACAACUAAGAGUCAAACUAGAUAUUAUGGUAGCCAUCGAUCCAACCUGUGGCCAUCAACACCAUUUUAGGAAAAAAAUUAGCCAUUUAAAAAUUGUUGUGAAGUCAUGAUGUAGCAACAACAGGCACUCUCCUUUUCCCACCUUUUAAGUUCUGAAGCAGGCCCCCCUCUGCCCUGGCUAUGUUAUCAUGGUGAGAUUGCCUGAUACUGCCAUUCCAUGGGCCCAAAUAGGAUCAAGCCCUCAUAACAAUUUUAAAUGGCUAAGCUCUCCUCUCAAAAUGGCACCAGAGGUUAUAUGUUAGACCUUUUACCUCUGUAACAUCUAG